GACGAACGCUGGCGGCGUGCCUAAUACAUGCAAGUCGAACGCAGUGGGGACGGGAGAGUAACACGUGGGUAACCUCCAAUCAGAGGGGAAAACAAAUGGAAACAGGUGCUAAAACGAUACUGAAGGAUGGACCCGCGGUGCAUUAGCAAGUUGGUGAGUUAAAGGCUCACCAAGGCCACGAUGCAUAGCCGACCGGAGCGGGUGUUCGGCAAAACUGGGACGGAGACACGGCCCAGACUCCUACGUGAGGCAUCAGUAGGGAAUCUUCGGCAAUGGACGAAAGUCUGACCGAUCAACGCCGCGUGAGUGAAGAAGGUUUUCGGAUCGUAAAACUCUGUUGUUAUAGAAGCGGUAUCUAACCAGAAAGCCACGGCUAACUACGUGCCAGCAGCCGCGGUAAUUC
rnacentral:rRNA from 1 species